UACGGAGGGGGCUAGCGUUGUUCGGAAUUACUGGGCGUAAAGCGCACGUAGGCGGCUUUGUAAGUUAGAGGUGAAAGCCCGGGGCUCAACUCCGGAAUUGCCUUUAAGACUGCAUCGCUAGAAUUGUGGAGAGGUAAGUGGAAUUCCGAGUGUAGAGGUGAAAUUCGUAGAUAUUCGCAAGAACACCAGUGGCGAAGGCGACUCACUGGCCCGAUACUGACGCUGAGGCACGAAAGCGUGGGGAGCAAACAGG
rnacentral:rRNA from 1 species